UGAUGCGUCUGGGACUGAUUCGG
rnacentral:piRNA from 1 species